UGCGUUUGACGCGGCCGGGGACACGGGCUCCCCCUGUGAUGGGGAGUCGCGAGGACGGGCCGGUUCGGACACCGGCAUACGAAG
rnacentral:tRNA from 1 species